rnacentral:rRNA from 1 species
CCUACGGGGGGCUGCAGUGAGGAAUAUUGGUCAAUGGACGAGAGUCUGAACCAGCCAAGUAGCGUGAAGGAGGACUGCCCUAUGGGUUGUAAACUUCUUUUAUAUGGGAAUAAAAUGUUCCACGUGUGGGAUUUUGUACGUACCCUAUGAAUAAGGAUCGGCUAACUCCGUGCCAGCAGCCGCGGUAAUACGGAGGAUCCGAGCGUUAUCCGGAUUUAUUGGGUUUAAAGGGAGCGUAGGUGGAUUGUUAAGUCAGUUGUGAAAGUUUGCGGCUCAACCGUAAAAUUGCAGUUGAAACUGGCAGUCUUGAGUGCAGUAGAGGUGGGCGGAAUUCGUGGUGUAGCGGUGAAAUGCUUAGAUAUCACGAAGAACUCCGAUUGCGAAGGCAGUUCACUGGACUGCAACUGACACUGAGGCUCGAAAGUGUGGGUAUCAAACAGGAUUAGAUACCCUUGUAGUC